GUGUAGUGGUCGAUGUUGCGUUGGUUGGUAUGUUGGCGCCUUGUACGCAUAUCCGAAAGCAGUCGGUGAUUUGGUCCAGCGGUUGGCGGCAACUGGCGGAGGUGCUACCUCAUUCGGCAUUUGUCACACAUUCCGGUGGCUGCUGGCCACAUGCUGUCACACAUCAGACCUCCAUUCGGACCUGUAUUGGCUGGUUCUAUGCUGGUAAAGGUUCCAGGUUAUACGUCUGGGCUGGUCAGCUGUUGAAGACCCAGUUCUGUUUCACUAUGCAGACUCAAGGGGACCGGGGUUGGGCUGGUAUUAUUCGUUGUAUCCAGAUCACUUUGCCGAGGCUGGCGAUCAUGGUAUGAAGAAAUGGAUUUGUUGUAAUGGGUGCUUUGAGCCAUACACUUCGAGUAUCUACC